rnacentral:lncRNA from 1 species
AGACUGGAAAGUGGAUCCAAAGCCCAUGGUGAGAAUCCCUGUAGGGAGAGCUGAGCAUGCACCUCCACCAUCCUUCCACAGCAGUAGCAAAGAGUCAGAGAAUUACUUGGACCACCUGACGGGGAGUUUGAGGAGCAGAGAGAAUGGUACCUGCAUUCUCCUGGGAAAUACAGUUCACUUCCUUGCUUUUGGAAGAAAAAGAAAAGGAAAGAACUAAGGAGUAUUAGGGAACUGCGUCUUACUCACCGUGUUCCCCGGGGGCGCU